rnacentral:snRNA from 1 species
UCACUUACCUGGACGAGGUCAACGGGUGAUCAAGAUGGUCCAUGGCCUAGGUUGGUGACCUUCAUUGCACUUUGGAGGGGUGCCCGCCUAAGGUCGGCCCAAGUGGUCGAGCCUAUGUCAUAAUUUGUGGCAGUGGGGGCUUGCGUUCGCGCAGCCCUUG